UACGGGGGGGGCAAGCGUUGUCCGGAAUUACUGGGCGUAAAGAGCUUGUAGGUGGUUUGUCGCGUUGUUCGUGAAAUCUCACGGCUUAACUGUGAGCGUGCGGGCGAUACGGGCAGACUAGAGUACUGCAGGGGAGACUGGAAUUCCUGGUGUAGCGGUGGAAUGCGCAGAUAUCAGGAGGAACACCAAUGGCGAAGGCAGCUCACUGGGACGGUAUUGACGCUGAGACGCGAAAGCGUGGGGAGCGAACAGG
rnacentral:rRNA from 1 species